ACUUUGUUGGAAUAGGGUUCGCUUUGCCGAGCACUGGCUGAUAGGCGUAAUGGCAACACUGUUACAGAGGGGGGGCACCAGCACAACUUGUAAAGUGAUGAACUACGUAGUUUGAAAAGCAAAAGUGUACGUUGGGGUUAACGUGAGAAUCCAGAUGAGUUUUUUUUUUUUUUUUUUUGACAGUCAUGCUUGCAGGGCUAAUGCUCUUAUUGUAGAGUUGGUUCUAAUAUCUAAUCGAGCAUCUUGACCGCUCUUAUGUUCUUAGUGUAAUACGGCCUACUUUUAACUGAGUAACGCAUCGUCUCCCAUAGGUGAUGAACGCGUGACUCACAGAUAUCUACACCAUGCUAUACCCUACUUCUAAUUGAGUUGUUGGAUAAAUUUUGAUAUUAUUCCGGUGAGGCUUAUGGUAGGAUUUAUUUUGAACUUAAAAUGGAACUUGUUUUGUUCGGAGGAGCUCCCUUAAAGUGUUUUCCAGGGGUUUCUUCUCAGAACCAUUUUUUCCCUUUUUUAUUUAGACAUCCCUCCAGGGAUUUCUUCUGGAAUUCAUCUAAAAAUUCUUUCAAUAACUGUUCAAUAUUGGAUUGAAUCCAAAUCCAACAACAUUUCUCCAGUAUUUUUUUCUAUGAUUUGACCAGAAGUUCUUUUUGCGAUUCCUCCAGAAAUUCCUUCCAGAAUUUCGGUCCCGCCUGUGACUUCUAUAGGAAUUCUUUCUAACAUAAUAUAAGCAGUUCCUAGUAUUUACCAAGAAUUAUUUCCGGAAUUCCUUCAGGAACUUCUUUCGCGAUCUCUCCGUUAACGUUUUCCCAGAUUCUUCCAGGAACUCCUUCCAAGCUUCGUCUAGGAGCUUCUUCACAGAUCCUGCUUGGAAUUUCUCCUGAGAUUCAUAAAAAAGUUGCAUCUGGGAUCCCUUGAUGAGUUCAUUCCGGGAUUCUUCCAGGAACUUCUUCGGCAUUUCUCUAUAAUUAUUUCAGAAAUUCCUCCACAAUGUUUUUACGAGAUUUUUUCCAGGAAAUCUUCCCGAGAUUCUUCCUCUAGAAUAUCCUUCAUGGAUUUACAUUGGAUAUUUUUCUGUGAUUACUUUACUUUGUUUUCGGAAUGUCUUCUGCAUUUUUUAUGGGAAUCGCUGAAGGAUUUCAUUUACUCCCGAAAGGAAGUAUUGGAGGAAAUCCAAAAGGAGCUCCUGGAAGAUGUUUGGUGGAAUUUCUCAAGUAGUUUCUGCAGGUAUUUUAAUAGGAAUUCAUGAAACAAUUCCAUACGGAAUUCUCGGUGUAACUUCAAGAGGAAUUCCACGACAAAAAAAAAUCUUGAAGUGAUUUCACAUAAACUCCUGAUGGAUUUCCAUUGGGAACAUUUGAAAUAAUUCCAAAAUAAACUGCUUGAAAAAUUCCAGAAUGAUUUGCUUCUGAUUAAAUCCCGGCAGAAGAUUCUGGAGGAAUCUCGAAAACAGUUCCAGAAAAAAAAAUACGAAUACAGGAUUGACUGAUGGACUAGGGAUGGGAACACUCACUUGCAACGAGUUACAUUCACUUGCUUUUUUUUCAGAUCAGAAGCAUGCAAGUAAGAAGCGAUGGGGGCGACUUUUGCCUUGUGGUUUCGUCAGUAGGGGUCGCACUCGAAUCCCAAGGUCGUGACGUAGCUGUGAAAGCGACUGUCCACGAGGGGAGUGUAAUUAACAUUCAUCUUGUGGAGAGUUGCCUUCGGUAUGCGAGUGCGACCCCUACUCUUUUCGGCAAAGUUUUAGACGAAAACACAAGGUAAAAGUCGUCUAUACAUUGUUUCUUGAUUGCACGCUUCUGAGUUGAGAAAACUGCAAGUGAGUGUAACUAUUUCCAAGUGAGUGUUCCCAUUCUUGUGUUGGACCACCAAUAAUAAUGAAACCU